rnacentral:rRNA from 1 species
GACGAACGCUGGCGGCGUGCCUAAUACAUGCAAGUCGAACGCAGUGGCGACGGGUGAGUAACACGUGGGUAACCUCCCAUCAGAGGGGAUAACACUUGGAAACAGGUGCUAAACCGAUACUGAUGGAUGGACCCGCGGUGCAUUCGCUGGUUGGUGGGGUAACGGCUCACCAGGGCCACGAGGCAUACCCGACCUCAGAGGGGGAUCGGCCACACGGGGACGGAGCCACGGCCCAGACUCCUGCGGGAGGCAGAAGUAGGGAAUCUUAGGCAAUGGACGAAAGUCUGACCGAGCAACGCAGAGUGAGUGAAGAAGGUUUUCGGAUCGUAAAACUCUGUUGUGAGAGAAGCGGUAUCUAACCAGAAAGCCACGGCUAACUACGUGCCAGCCGCCGCGGUAAUUC